AGUGAACGCUGGCGGCGUGCUUAACACAUGCAAGUCGAACGAGAACGGGUUAUAGCUUGCUAUAAUUGUCAGCUAAGUGGCGCACGGGUGAGUAAUGUAUAGGUAAUAUGACUCUUACUAAGGGAUAACAAAUGGAAAAGUUUGCUAAUACCUUAUACUCCUUAUUAACAUAAGUUAAUAAGGGAAAGUUUUAUUGGUCAGAGAUUAGCCUGUAUUGUAUCAGUUAGUUGGUGGGGUAAUGGCUUACCAAGACUAUGACACAUAACUGGUUUGGGAGGAUGAUCAGUCACACUGGAACUGAGACACGGUCCAGACUCGUACGGGAGGCAGCAGUGGGGAAUAUUGCACAAUGGACGAAAGUCUGAUGCAGCAACGCCGCGUGGAGGAUGACACAUUUCGGUGCGUAAACUCCUUUUAUAUGAGAAGAUAAUGACGGUAUUAUAUGAAUAAGCACCGGCUAACUCCGUGCCAGCAGCCGCCGUAAUAC
rnacentral:rRNA from 1 species